ACUUUAUGUAUCCAAAUCAAGCUUCUCACAAAGAGAUUCAUCCUGAUUUGAUGUGAAGGACGAAUAAGCUGUCCUAUUCCCAAACUGGGAAACUGGAAGCACCUGAUUUGAAAGUGGGAUAACUUCUUCUUGCCAACUCCUAUGAGAUUUAUUCAACUUCCUGGUGAUUCUCCACCACUUUAUGUAUCCAAAUCAAGCUUCUCACAAAG
rnacentral:lncRNA from 1 species